rnacentral:rRNA from 1 species
UACGUAGGGGGGCAAGCGUUGUCCGGAAUCAUUGGGCGUAAAGCGCGCGUAGGCGGCCCGGUAAGUCCGCUGUAAAAGUCCAGGGCUCAACCCUGGAAAGCCGGUGGAUACUGUCGGGCUAGAGUCCGGAAGAGGCGAGUGGAAUUCCUGGUGUAGCGGUGGAAUGCGCAGAUAUCAGGAGGAACACCAAUAGCGAAGGCAGCUCGCUGGGACGUUACUGACACUGAGGCGCGAAAGCGUGGGGAGCGAACAGG